rnacentral:rRNA from 1 species
CCUACGGGUGGCAGCAGUGAGGAAUAUUGGUCAAUGGACGGAAGUCUGAACCAGCCAUGCCGCGUGCAGGAAGACGGCCCUAUGAGUUUUAAACUGCUUUUGUACAAGGGUAAACCUGAAUACGUGUAUUCUGCUGAAAGUACUGUACGAAUAAGGAUCGGCUAACUCCGUGCCAGCAGCCGCGGUAAUACGGAGGAUCCAAGCGUUAUCCGGAUUUAUUGGGUUUAAAGGGUGCGUAGGCGGAUGGAUAAGUUAGAGGUGAAAUGUCCGAGCUUAACUCGGGAACUGCCUCUCAUACUGGUGAUCUAGAGAGUAGAUGCGGUAGGCAGAAUGUAUGGUGUAGCGGUGAAAUGCUUAGAGAUCAUACAGAACACCGAUUGCGAAGGCAGCUUACCAAUCUAUAUCUGACGUUGAGGCACGAAAGCGUGGGGAGCAAACAGGAUUAGAUACCCGUGUAGUC